UCUCUGCCCCGCCGCCGGCCGCCGCCGCCGCGGUCGCUCGCCCAGGCACCCAUCCCGCACUCGCGCCGCCGCCGUUGCCCCCUCUCCUCUUCCUUCCGCUCGGCCCGCGCCUCCCUGCCCCGCUGCCGUCCAGGGCCAGCCCCACACUGCUGCAUCCUCUUCCUUCCUCUCGUCCCCACAGCGACGGCAGCAAGGACGGCGCGCUGCGCCCGCCCCCUCCACUCCACCAGAGGUGCCCCUCUCCGCCCCCGUCCUACUCGCGCUCGAGGAUCCCCGGUCGCCCUCGGCCCCGGCGUCCUACCGCGUCCUGCUCGCCGUCCUCGCCUGCGUUGCCCUCGGUGCGCUUGUCUCCCUCUCCUCCUCGGUUCCCAGCGGGAGAAGCAUGAGGCGUUGAAGCUACUGCUGCUCAGCGGGAGAAGCAGCAGCCGAAAAUCGAUGACGCCGACCCCCUCCUCCACGGCAGCGCCUUCGUCCCCGACGACACCCAGCAGCAGCCCACUCCCGGCUGUUCUGAGCAUGUCAAGGCUGAAGUGUGCACUUCCGAGGUUUGAUUUAUGGGCCCUUUUGUUCCUGCUGAUUGGUGUGCCGAUUAUAAUCAUAUAUGUACAUGGCCAGAAGGUACUUAGAGAAGAUACUUAGAGAAGAGUGUGCAUCAAUAUGAAGUCUUGUCCUACUCUUCUAACGAAGGAUCAGAUCAAGAAACAUCUUAAUUUCUCAGCCUCCAUGGACACGGCCGAGAUCCUUGACCAUUGCUCAUCGGGACAUGUGCCAUCUAGCACCAAAAACCCUUGUUUAGCUGUUCAGUUGGUCCAGGAUCUGAGCGCAUCCGUCGCAUUCGCUGUUCGUCGUCCAGUCGGCCGUAGCCAUCCACAAUAAGAGCCACACAUACAAGGUUCUGAGCUUCUGAUAAAGAAGACCCACAAGUUUCAGAAAUAAGGUAGGAAAAAUCAAAGGUAAAACAUGCAGGCACAUGCCUUCGGCAAUCAGCCUUUUAAAGAGGUGUUCAUGAGUGUACAGCUGCACACAAGGAUUUGUGCCAUGUGGCACUAUCCAUUUACCAUUGAGUCCCUUCCUCCGUUUGGCAGGCAACCAGCCGAGCCUAUUCUCGCUGGUAUAAAUCAAAUGCUUGCUUGACACUGAAAUUAGACCAGUCAUCCACAGGACCAGUGAAGAAAGAAAAGUUAUUUCUUCUUUUCCAGACCAUUGGGAAGCUGUCUAGGUAUUCAGACUUAGCAAUAAAAGGAACACUCUGUAUGCAAACGGUGUUCCGCACUGUUUUACAAUCACAUCUAAUGACAGUUCCGAGCGACCGAAGAAUCACAAUAUCUACGAAAAGUCUUCCUCUCUAUCUCGAGCAGAUCCUGUUGUAGCCCCUAUUGUGCACUUGAUUAUGUGCCAUUUUCUACAGGCGCUUUGAUACACAUCCAGUUAAAAUGUUCAGGCGAUUGAUGACAGCACAGUACCUUAAAGGCCGGUAAAAGAAGUUUCUAAGAAGCGCGAACACUGUGAGAAGAGUAGAUCAUCGAUGCUUACAGCUGUGGGGCUCAUGGAGCCAGAAGAGGCUGUCGGUGUCGGCGACCUUGCCGUCUUUGUCCUGUCCAAAGGUCUCUGGACAAAUAGGUGCAAGGAGGGCUUUGUUUGGUGCAGCGCAAGACAAUAGCCAAUAGAUGUUUAAUCUGCCAGUUAAUAGAGUACUGAGCAUGUUGGUUUGUCUGUUGUAACCCACUUCAGAUGACGUAUAGAUUACUAAAAGUUUUUUAGUAUUUUAGUAUUUACCUUUCUUACAUAUAUAUACACGAUUUACUACAUUUAUGUAUAUCUUACCUUUCAACUCAUGGCCAAAUUCACUUGAUCAAUUUUCAGUAUCCAAUCUGAUGAAUGGUUUGGAGUUUGGCUGCAAAUAAACCUGAGACUAAGAGCAUUUGUAAAUAGCACCAAUGCAUAAGUAAAUAU